rnacentral:lncRNA from 1 species
AAAUAAUAAUAAUAAUAAUAAUAAUUUUAUUUAAAGAUAACAUUUCAUUCGUUAAGUAUAAAGUCAGAACUCAUUACAACCAUAACAAGGUCUAAGAAGAACAUAAAAAGCUACUAAGGCCCACAAGAUAAAACCCAAAAAAAGAACAACAGAACCCUAGCACCCAAUAAGCCUAGCAUUCUUGACUUGCUCCGACCCGGACAGGAGAAAAGAUUUAUCGCCAUAAUCACUGGAAGCUGCCACCCUCAUGCCUGGAAGCCGUUGAUCGCUGGUGAGAAAACCAAAACGGCGAAGAAUCUCCAUCUAUAAACGCCCAGAAGGUCGUGGAAACAAACUAAAAAACGGAGAAAUAAUCGAAAACCAACAUACCAACGCCCCAGAUUGAAGACAGAAGAAGCUUGAAGACGCAGAAAAGCAGCCAUACAAAUCUCGAUUAGAACAAACACAGUGAGAGACCGUCACACUACCUCCCUCCUAUGUGGGUCAAUGAAGAAAAACCCAAAAAAUAACACAUGCAAGGAUGAUAGCUCCUCCAAUAAACAUCGCUAUCUCAGCCUUUGAAUCACUGCCAUUAUUCUCUCCUAUGCCUGCAACUCAAGAUCUAUAUUUAUUUAAUUAUUUUACAUUUGUAAAUAUACUUCGACUUCUAUUAGUUUUUGCUCAUAUUAGCGUGAUCAUAUAUAAUCAUUUGAUAUUUGUGCUCGCUAUCUUUAAAAAUCUCUUUUUGAAAAAUAAUACUAAGAAUUUGUGUCGAAUAACUAGUUGCCAUUAAUUUAUCAAAUUGAUUGAUUCUUUAAUAAAUAACAUUGAAAAUUUUAAUAUUUUACAUUUAAUAAAAAAUUUUGAUUAUAUUUAAAUUAAAGUUGAUAAAGCCAAGGCAUUGUCUGGUUUAAUAUUUUAAUUAAAUUUAUCAGAGAGCACUGUAUGAACCUUUCUAGUAAACUUCCAAAUCCAAGUUCGCAGCAGGCUUGUUUGUUGUCUGUCUCUGCCUCUCAUCUCGCCGGAUACUCCAAGUCAAUGGC